UACGGAGGGGUUAGCGUUGUUCGGAAUUACUGGCGUAAAGGACGCGCGUAGGCGGAUUGGAAAGUUGGGGUGAAAUCCCGGGGCUCAACCCGGAACUGCCUCCAAAACUUCCAGUCUGGAGUUCGAGAGAGGUGAGUGGAAUUCCGAGUGUAGAGGUGAAAUUCGUAGAUAUUCGGAGGAACACCAGUGGCGAAGGCGGCUCAACUGGCUCGAUACUGACGCUGAGGUGCGAAAGUGUGGGGAGCAAAACAGGAUUAGAUACCCCCCGUAGU
rnacentral:rRNA from 1 species